rnacentral:tRNA from 1 species
GUAGAGGCUCAGUGGUAGAGUGCUUGCCUAGCAUGCAUGAGGCACUGGGUUUGAUCCUCAUCACCACA